GAUGAACGCUGGCGGCGUGCCUAAUACAUGCAAGUCGAGCGAACGGACGAGAAGCUUGCUUCUCUGAUGUUAGCGGCGGACGGGUGAGUAACACGUGGAUAACCUACCUAUAAGACUGGGAUAACUUCGGGAAACCGGAGCUAAUACCGGAUGAUAUUUUGAACCGCAUGGUUCAAAAGUGAAAGACGGUCUUGCUGUCACUUAUAGAUGGAUCCGCGCUGCAUUAGCUAGUUGGUAAGGUAACGGCUUACCAAGGCAACGAUGCAUAGCCGACCUGAGAGGGUGAUCGGACACAGUGGAAGGGAGACACGGUCCAGACGACUACGGGAGGCAGCAGAAGGGAAUGUUCGGUAAUGGGCGAAAGCUGGAAGAAACAACGCCGAGUGAGUGAUAAAGGUUUUCGGAUCGUAAACACCUUUUAUUAGGGAAAAAAAAAUGUGUAAGUACAGGUGCAGAGCUUGACGGUACCUAAUAAGAAAGCAACGGCUAAUUACGUG
rnacentral:rRNA from 1 species